AAAUGACUCCACACACCCCAAUUGCAAAGUGCAGUGCUUUGAGGAGGAGGGUCUACCAAGCUUGUAUUUCGUUGCCCUCCGUGACAUUCUGCCACUGGUCAGACGCUACAGGUGACUGUGCCAGUGUCAUCUCUCGUGCAGAGAAGAAGUUGUGUAUAAUUAUGGUGCAGGACCAUAUCCAUGGACGAAAAAGUUCGAAAAGCUGUGACGUUAUAGUAUCCAAACCAGGCGUGAGACCAGUCCAUUGCCUACUUGAAGUUAACAACGGAAAGGACAAGUUUGCUUUAUACACUGAUGUUGGAGCUUGGGGAAAGCCACUUGACUACAUUACCUAGCUCAGGCAGUCUGCAAUACUCAAAGAAUUCUUGAUGACUGCAGUGUCCAUGACUUUAAUGUUGAACCAGAUGGCCUACAUCCAGAACUGAUGCAUGGAGUUCAAAACUACAUAGAUCAAGG